rnacentral:rRNA from 1 species
GAUGAACGCUGGCGGCAUGCUUUACACAUGCCAGUCGGACGGGAAGUGGUGGUUCCCGUGGCGGUCGGGUGAGUAACGCGUAAGAACUUGCCCUUGGGAGGGGAACAACAGCUGGAAACGGUUGCUAAUACCCCGUUGGCUGAGGAGCGAAAGGAGGAAUCCGCCUAAGGAGGGGCGCGCGUCUGGUUAGCUAGGUGGUGGGGUAAUAGCUUACCAAGGCGGUGAUCAGUAGCUGGUCCGAGGGGAUGAUCGGCCACACUGGGACGGGGACAAGGCGCAGACUCCUUCGGGAGACGGCAGAGGGGAAUAUUCCGCAAUGGGGGAUAGGCUGACAGGGCAAUGCGGCGGGGAAGUAAAAGGACUACGGGUCAUGAACUUCUUUUCCUGGAGAAGAAACAAUGACGGUAUCUGGAGAAUAAGCAUCGGCUAACUCCGUG